AUGACUUUUGUAAAGGGAAGUCAUGCCUCACCAGUCAGAAUUAUUUGAGGGGGGGGUCAACAAGCAGGUGGGUGUGAUCCAAUGGAUAUAGUGUACUUGGACUUUUAAAAAGCCCUUGACCAGGAAAAUCACUCCCUCUGAAGCAUCUGCCAUUGGCCACUGUUGGAAGACAGGAUACUAGACUAGAUGAACCAUUGGUCUGACCCAAUAUGGCCAUUCUUAUGAAGGACAAAUAUAAAAUCUUCAUGAAUCGUGGGUUCAUAUAUUUUAAUGCCGCAAGGGACCAUUAGAUGAUCUGAUCUAACCUUCUGUAUAUCACAGGCCAUUACAUUUCACCUGGUUACUCCAGUAUUUAACCCAAUAACCUCUCUGACAAAAGCAUAUUUUCCAGUCCUGAUCUGAAGACCUCAGGAAAUAGAAAAUCCACCACUUGUGAUAGUUUGUUCCAGUGGUUAACCAUCACUUUUUUUUAAGUGUCUUAUUUCUGCUUUGAAUUUCUCUGGCUUCAGCUUCCAGCCAUUAGUUCUUGUUCUGCCUUUCUCCACUAGAUUAGAGCCCUUUAGUACCUGGUAUUUUUUUUCCUGUGAAGAUAUUUAUAUUCAGUAAUUGUCACCUCUCAAUCUUUUUUUGAUAAACUAAACAGCUGGAGCUCUUUAAGUCUCUCCCUAUAAAGCAUUUUCUUUAGUGCUUGAAUAAUUUCAGUGGCUCUUUCUGCACCCUCUCCAGUUUUUCCACAUCCUCUUUAAAAUGUGGACCCCAGACUGUAUGCAAUAUUCCAUGGUGAGUCUCACCAAUGAUGUAUACAGAGGUACAGGCACACAGAGAGUCAAUGAGUGUCUUUUUUUCUACUGUGUACAAGCCCUGCCCAUGUAGCACACAGCUAGCCUAUUAGGCUUACAUUUAAAGGUAAAUGGAAUUCAGUGGGCCCAACUACUUGAGCAAGGACUAUCUGUGUAAGGGUUCUGGGCUCAGCUACUCCAUAGCAGACCAUGUAUAAAAAGUAUAUAGAACCAUAGUUCAGGUGCAGGAAAGCAAGGUCAGAUUCUCAGAGGAAGGAAGGCCUUGUAAUUAAGGUACUGGCCUGACACUCAGAAGGUCUUGGUUCAAUACCUGGCUCUGCUGCAUGUGUCCUAUGUAACCUUGCGCAAAGUCUUAGUGCCUCAGGUCCUCAUCUGGACAAAGGGAAUAAUUAUUUUUCUGACACCGUUUGACUUGUCUGUUUAGAUGGCAUGGGACUAUCUUUUGCGGGUGUUGCACAGCGCCUAGCACGAUGAGACCCCAUCUUCAUUGGGGCUUCUAGGCAUGACUGUAAUACCAACAAUCAGUAAUAGGAAGGCUUCCUGAAAGAACUGAGUUUUGAGGGAGAAUUUGAAGGAGAAAAGAGUUUUAUUAGUGGCUGUACAAGACAAAGGAGGUAUUUCAGAUGUCAGGAUUGAGUUCCAGUAGUUCCUGUAUUUUUUUUUUUUCAUAGAAGGCACUCUGGCCAAAAAUAAACCAUGCAUAUAAAAUCAAUUAUAAUGGUUUAUAUUCCUUAUCAGAACACUUUUCAUAUCUUUAAAAAUCUUAGUCCUUGGUAUUGUUGGACUAACUUUUGGGAAGCUUGAAAUGAAAUCGGUUUGUCUGGAUUUGUUUUUUUCUCCUGGCUGUUUGUGUUCAUCCUAGGGCUGCUUAUGAGUACUGGCCUGCUGACUUUGAUUUUUUUUUAUUCCUUUGUUUUAUUUUUAAUUAAGAGAAUUCAAGCAUCUGUUUGGAGGGGAAAACUGGAGAAUUACACACAUUGGCUAAUGUAAAUGAGGAAAAGAGCUGCUGGAAACCUCCUUCCCUUCCCAACGCUCACCUCUUCCUGCCUUUGUCGGGGAAGUGUUAGAUCUGACACCUUUCCAGUAAGGGGCAUCAGAAGAGCCCUAACCAAGAGUCUUUCAUCUCAUGGAAAUGAAACCAAGCUGAGCUGCCCCUGCACUUCCCCUGCUGCCUGGGAAUCUCUCCACAAGCUGUACACUUGGAGGAGCUUGACAACAACCAUUGCCAGAGCAGCUUGUUGGAUGCAUGUGACUGAUGGUGAAAAUGGUCUGAGGCAGCUGAACGCACAGGACUUCACCACAAGUGUCUCCUGAUGGGUUGUGAGUUCAAUCCUUGAGGGGGCCAUUUAGGGAUCUGGGCCAAAACUUGGGGAUUGGUCCUGCUUUGAGCAGGGGGUUAGACUAGAGGACCUCCUGAGGUCCCUUCCAACCCUGAUAUUCUAGGAUUCUAUGACUUAAAUCUAAGCUCUGGCAAGUACAUGCAAGCUUAGCUCAAUUAGGUCUUAUGCUUGGUUUAAGGUGUAGGGGGCGCUAUGUACACCACUUCACUACUUUUAGAGCAGUUAGGUUUCUGUCUUCCCUUUCCUACCCAUGAGGAGAAAGAUUAGGGCAGGUCUCCCUUUGUCCCCUGCUGGCUGGUGAUUCCUGGCCUAGGGCUUUAAAAUGCUGAACAUUUUUGUUGGUGAUGGAAACAGCCUGUGGUUUUACCUUGCCCUUGAGAGAAUCUUAUAAGUAAACUGUUUGCUAGAGGGUAAAAGUAAGGCCAAAUGUUUUUAAUGUUGCAGGAUAAUACACAUUUAUCUUUGAAAAGUAUCACUAUAGAGCAUUAGUAUCAGUACUGGUGAGGAGAGGCGGAGAAUAAAAUUUUCAAAAUGAAUGUAUUAUUGGAGGGC